rnacentral:tRNA from 1 species
GCCCCCAUGGUGUAGCGGUUAGCACGCGGCCCUUUCACGGCCGUAGCGCGAGUUCGAUUCUCGCUGGGGGUA